GGUGAACCCUGCCUAGAGGAAUAUGCACUUCUGUGUUCCUCCCAGCGCAUAUCACGACCUGAUGGAGUUGGAGAGUGAAAAGUCAUCGAGUCCCUCGAUGAAGGGAGAGAUACAGAUUAACAUGGCCCAACUGCUGAUCCUGAACUCCCAUGGAAAGGUAUCUGAGGAGUUAGAGAGAAUACUACAACAAGUUUGGGCAACCAGUCAGCAGAAGGAGCACAAGUGAAUAUCAAAACCCUAUGCAUAGAGCUGUACUGCCUUCAUGCCCUCUGUGCAUGAUGCUUUUUUAUGUCAAUACAUGUAGUAACAAGGAUGAUCCAUGGUUUGUGUGCUUCUUAGAAUCAAAGAAAACAGCUACAUUUUCAAAACAGACUAGAAGGUAAGCCUGGAGAAAGAGGAAUAUUUUUGGACUGCAGUGAAGUUUCUAAAGAGAAUAAAAGAAAAACUUGAGAAGGAAAAAUUCAAAGUUUUAAAGCUACAAAAGAUAAAGUAGAGUCCCAUAAAGAUUUGA